GUGAAUGGACCCACUGUCAGAGGGGCUGGUGCCGUGGUACCUGGUUCCUUAUGUACUAAUUACAAGCUCCAAACGCAGGAGUUAGGGGAGUCUGGGGACUUGUGGCUGGAGUUCACACGGGCUGGAGAAACAAAGGAUGCCCUGUUCCUCAUUACGCUCCUACACUUAAUUAGGAAACAGAAUAUGCCUUAAUGAAGAAACUGAAAUCUGUUCUCAGUUACCAGAAUCACUCCAGACUCAACGUGUGUGAGAGCUGAAUUAUGCAGAUACAAUCUGGGGAAACAGAAGCCCAGGCAAAGUCAAAUCCUAUUGAAUUUGGA